rnacentral:rRNA from 1 species
CAGGCUUAACACAUGCAAGUCGAGGGGCAGCAUGGUCUUAGCUUGCUAAGACUGAUGGCGACCGGCGCACGGGUGAGUAACACGUAUCCAACCUGCCGUCUACUCUUGGACAGCCUUCUGAAAGGAAGAUUAAUACAAGAUGGCAUCAUGAGUCCGCAUGUUCACAUGAUUAAAGGUAUUCCGGUAGACGAUGGGGAUGCGUUCCAUUAGAUAGUAGGCGGGGUAACGGCCCACCUAGUCUUCGAUGGAUAGGGGUUCUGAGAGGAAGGUCCCCCACAUUGGAACUGAGACACGGUCCAAACUCCUACGGGAGGCAGCAGUGAGGAAUAUUGGUCAAUGGGCGAGAGCCUGAACCAGCCAAGUAGCGUGAAGGAUGACUGCCCUAUGGGUUGUAAACUUCUUUUAUAAAGGAAUAAAGUCGGGUAUGCAUACCCGUUUGCAUGUACUUUAUGAAUAAGGAUCGGCUAACUCCGUGCCAGCAGCCGCGGUAAUACGGAGGAUCCGAGCGUUAUCCGGAUUUAUUGGGUUUAAAGGGAGCGUAGAUGGAUGUUUAAGUCAGUUGUGAAAGUUUGCGGCUCAACCGUAAAAUUGCAGUUGAUACUGGAUAUCUUGAGUGCAGUUGAGGCAGGCGGAAUUCGUGGUGUAGCGGUGAAAUACUUAGAUAUCACGAAGAACUCCGAUUGCGAAGGCAGCCUGCUAAGCUGCAACUGACAUUGAGGCUCGAAAGUGUGGGUAUCAAACAGGAUUAGAUACCCUGGUAGUCCACACGGUAAACGAUGAAUACUCGCUGUUUGCGAUAUACUGCAAGCGGCCAAGCGAAAGCGUUAAGUAUUCCACCUGGGGAGUACGCCGGCAACGGUGAAACUCAAAGGAAUUGACGGGGGCCCGCACAAGCGGAGGAACAUGUGGUUUAAUUCGAUGAUACGCGAGGAACCUUACCCGGGCUUAAAUUGCAGAUGAAUUACGGUGAAAGCCGUAAGCCGCAAGGCAUCUGUGAAGGUGCUGCAUGGUUGUCGUCAGCUCGUGCCGUGAGGUGUCGGCUUAAGUGCCAUAACGAGCGCAACCCUUGUUGUCAGUUACUAACAGGUUCCGCUGAGGACUCUGACAAGACUGCCAUCGUAAGAUGUGAGGAAGGUGGGGAUGACGUCAAAUCAGCACGGCCCUUACGUCCGGGGCUACACACGUGUUACAAUGGGGGGUACAGAGGGCCGCUACCACGCGAGUGGAUGCCAAUCCCCAAAACCUCUCUCAGUUCGGACUGGAGUCUGCAACCCGACUCCACGAAGCUGGAUUCGCUAGUAAUCGCGCAUCAGCCACGGCGCGGUGAAUACGUUCCCGGGCCUUGUACACACCGCCCGUCAAGCCAUGGGAGCCGGGGGUACCUGAAGUGCGUAACCGCGAGGAGCGCCCUAGGGUAAAACUGGUGACUGGGGCUAAGUCAU